GCGCCUAUAGCUCAGCUGGUAGAGCGGCUGACUCUUAAUCAGCGGGUCCGGGGUUCGAGUCCCUGUGGGCGCACCA
rnacentral:tRNA from 1 species